rnacentral:rRNA from 1 species
ACCCGCACAAGCGGUGGAUCAUGUUGUUAAUUCGAUGAUACGCGAAGAACCUUACCAGGGCUUGACAUCCCCUGACCGCGUAUGAAAGUACGUUUUCACCCUCGGGUGACAGGGAGACAGGUGGUGCAUGGUUGUCGUCAGCUCGUGUCGUGAGAUGUUGGGUUAAGUCCCGCAACGAGCGCAACCCCUACGUUUAGUUGCUAACGCGUGAAGGCGAGCACUCUAGACGAACUGCCGUUGACAAAACGGAGGAAGGUGGGAUGACGUCAAAUCAUCAUGCCCCUUAUGUUCUGGGCUACACACGUGCUACAAUGGCCGGUACAGACGGACGCAAAGCCGCGAGGUGGAGCAAAUCCUAAAAAGCCGGUCUCAGUUCGGAUUGCAGGCUGCAAUUCGCCUGCAUGAAGUCGGAAUCGCUAGUAAUCGCAGGUCAGCAUACUGCGGUGAAUACGUUCCCGGGCCUU